AGACGUCACGAGUUUGAUCAUGGCUCAGAUUGAACGCUGGCGGCAGGCUUAACACAUGCAAGUCGAGCGGAGACUUCGGUCUUAGCGGCGAACGGGUGAGUAAUACCUAGGAAUCUGCCUAUUAGUGGGGGAUAACGAAUCGAAAGGUUCGCUAAUACCGCAUACGUCCUACGGGAGAAAGGGGGGGAUCUUCGGACCUCUCGCUAAUAGAUGAGCCUAGGCCGGAUUAGCUAGUUGGUAGGGUAAAGGCCUACCAAGGCGACGAUCUGUAGCUGGUCUGAGAGGAUGAUCAGCCACACUGGAACUGAGACACGGUCCAGACUCCUACGGGAGGCAGCAGUGGGGAAUAUUGCGCAAUGGGCGAAAGCCUGACGCAGCCAUGCCGCGUGUGUGAAGAAGGCCCUUGGGUUGUAAAGCACUUUCAAUUGGGAAGAAAGGUUGCGUGUUAAUAGCACGUAGCUGUGACGUUACCUUUAGAAGAAGCACCGGCUAACUCCGUG
rnacentral:rRNA from 1 species